rnacentral:rRNA from 1 species
CCUACGGGAGUCAGCAGUGAGGAAUAUUGGUCAAUGGCCGUAAGGCUGAACCAGCCAAGUCGCGUGAGGGAAGAAGGAUCUAUGGAUUGUAAACUUCUUUUGUAGGGGAAUAAAGGUAUCCACGUGUGGCUAUUUGCAUGUACCCGAAGAAUAAGCAUCGGCUAACUCCGUGCCAGCAGCCGCGGUAAUCCGGAGGAUGCGAGCGUUAUCCGGAUUUAUUGGGUUUAAAGGGUGCGUGGUUGGAUGUUCAAUUCAGCGGUAAAAUUUUGGGGCUAAACCUUAAAGUGCCGUUGAAACUGGAAGACGUGAGUGUGCUUGAGGUAUGCGGAAUGCGUGGUGUAGCGGUGAAAUGCAUAGAUAUCACGCAGAACUCCGAUUGCGAAGGCAGCAUACUAAGCCAUAACUGACACUGAAGCACGAAAGUGUGGGGAUCAAACAGGAUUAGAUACCCCGGUAGUC